rnacentral:rRNA from 1 species
AUUGAACGCUGGCGGAAUGCUUUACACAUGCAAGUCGAACGGUAGAGGGGGCAACCCCUUGAGAGUGGCGAACGGGUGAGUAAUAUAUCGGAACGUGCCCAGUCGUGGGGAUAACGUAGCGAAAGUUACGCUAAUACCGCAUACGAUCUAAGGAUGAAAGCGGGGGACUCGCAAGAGCCUCGCGCGAUUGGAACGGCCGAUAUCAGAUUAGGUAGUUGGUGGGGUAAAGGCUCACCAAGCCAACGAUCUGUAGCUGGUCUGAGAGGACGACCAGCCACACUGGAACUGAGACACGGUCCAGACUCCUACGGGAGGCAGCAGUGGGGAAUUUUGGACAAUGGACGCAAGUCUGAUCCAGCCAUUCCGCGUGCAGGAUGAAGGCCCUCGGGUUGUAAACUGCUUUUGUACGGACGAAAAGGUUUCUAUUAAUACUAGGAGCUCAUGACGGUACCGUAAGAAUAAGCACCGGCUAACUACGUGCCAGCAGCCGCGGU